UUCACUGAUGAAAACUGCUAUAUAGGAAGUGCCGUCUGAUGCGACAACUGACGAUGGCAAAAGCUGUUCUUCUGAGA
ensembl:snoRNA small nucleolar RNA SNORD49